UACGUAGGGGGCAAGCGUUGUCCGGAAUCAUUGGGCGUAAAGAGCUCGUAGGCGGUUUGUCGCGUCCGCUGUGAAAAUCCAGGGCUUAACCCUGGACCUGCAGUGGGUACGGGCAGACUGGAGUGCGGUAGGGGAGAUCGGAAUUCCUGGUGUAGCGGUGAAAUGCGCAGAUAUCAGGAGGAACACCGGUGGCGAAGGCGGAUCUCUGGGCCGUAACUGACGCUGGAGGAGCGAAAGCAUGGGUAGCGAACAGG
rnacentral:rRNA from 1 species